rnacentral:rRNA from 1 species
AUUGAACGCUGGCGGCAGGCCUAACACAUGCAAGUCGAACGAGUGGCGGACGGGUGAGUAGUGUCUGGGAAACCGCCCGAUGGAGGGGGAUAACUACUGAAAACGGUCGCUAAUACCGCAUACACUCGGAUGUGCCCAGAUGGGUUUAGCUAGUAGGUGGGGUAAAGGCUCCCCUAGGCGACGAUCCCUAGCUGGUUUGAGAGGAUGACCAGCCACACUGGAACUGAGACACGGUCCAGACUCCUACGGGAGGCAGCAGUGGGGAAUAUUGCACAAUGGGCGCAAGCCUGAUGCAGCCAUGCCGCGUGUAUGAAGAAGGCCUUCGGGUGGUAAAGUACUUUCAGCGGGGAGGCGUUACCCGCAGAAGAAGCACCGGCUAACUCCGUGCCAGCCGCCGCGGUAAUUC